rnacentral:lncRNA from 1 species
CUCAAAAAAUAUUUAGAUUAUUAUCAAAUUUGAAAAUAAACAACUCUCUAAGUUUUCAUUCUUUAAGGUUCAUGAAAAUUAGUCUUAAACUCACUACGGUUUAUGUCAACAUUUCAUCAAGAGAGACAACAUAGCAGUAAUAAUAGAGAAAACAUCAAAACCAAAAGAAGCUUGGACUUCAGUACUUGACAGGUGCGCCCUGUGUGGGUAAAAGACCAAACCGUUUCUUCAACAAAACUCUCUCCUUUGAAUAUUUAUCAUCAGGAGAGAAUCGGGCUGCAAUAGCACACAACCGUUUCAGUUUCAAUGAAAGAAUCAAACUUACAAAAAAACACAAAAUGGUCUAUAAAGAAGCUAGACUCACCUGGAUGGGCAGAUUCAGUGGCUGUCCCAAGCGGUGAUUCCUUCUGCACAAAUUGAGUUUAGACUCAUGAUUAAGCAAUUAAGUAAACAAAUACAGCGAGCAGAGAAAACCCCAAAUGAAAGACCUUGGUAGACUACGAUGAAUGAAACAAACUUACAACUACUAAUUAAAGAUUAAAAGCAAACAAAAACCAAGCUUGAGAUUUAUCUAACCGUUUUAAAUUAAUUAGUCUAUGCUAAAGUAGUAGUAUCGUGGGAUGUCUAUACAACUACUUGUAAACUAGUACCUUAGUGGUGUAAACUUUCUCGCCCUUCUCGUUGAUAUAGCACUGAAGAUACAUUUUCGUCUUCCUUUGAUUUCAAUGAUAAUCCCUGUAAAGUAGAAUUAACAUUAUAGCAGAAAGAUAACAAUCCGAUUAAGAUUCAGGAAACGAGCAAACCUUGGAGAUUUUUGAGACGAGAGUACGAUUAGGGUUUUUGAGGGAGGAAGAGGUGCGUGUGUAUAUAGGUGAUCUCGAGUCAACGAAAUGGGCUUUAGAUAUAAACUGUUAAGCCCAACAAGGACACUUUGGGCCGAUCUCAAUCGGAUUUUUUUUUUUUUUUUGGUCAAAAUGCAAGUAGUUCCAAACGCAACAAAUUUUCUGUGUUCAGGACAGAGAGGCGAAAUCAAAGAAGGAUGCCAGGUAAAUAGAAACUUGUGAACCAGUUAAUAUCAUUUAAUCAAAACAUAAACUCUUGUGCUAUUGGAUUUUGGAUAUGUAGGACACCAUACACUCGGAUUAUUGGAUUAGUUCCAUUGUUAGUGUCUAUGUGACGGUCUAAUCCAGUAAAUACAUAACAGAAUCCUUUUAUAGUUCUCUCUCUGAGAUUGAAAUAUACGAAUGGGUAUACUAUUUAUCACAUAGGAGAUGCAUCUUGUCUUCUUUUGAUCAUUCGACUUUAGCUCAAAAAAUAUUUAGAUUAUUAUCAAAUUUGAAAAUAAACAACUCUCUAAGUUUUCAUUCUUUAAGGUUCAUGAAAAUUAGUCUUAAACUCACUACGGUUUAUGUCAACAUUUCAUCAAGAGAGACAACAUAGCAGUAAUAAUAGAGAAAACAUCAAAACCAAAAGAAGCUUGGACUUCAGUACUUGACAGGUGCGCCCUGUGUGGGUAAAAGACCAAACCGUUUCUUCAACAAAACUCUCUCCUUUGAAUAUUUAUCAUCAGGAGAGAAUCGGGCUGCAAUAGCACACAACCGUUU